GAUGAACGCUGGCGGCGUGCCUAAUACAUGCAAGUCGAGCGAACAGACGAGGAUCUUGCUCCUCUGACGUUAGCGGCGGACGGUUGAGUAACACGUGGUUAACCUACCUAUAAGACUGGGAUACCUUCGGGAAACCUGAGCUCAUACCGGAUCAUAUAUUGAACCGCAUGGUUCAAUAGUGAAAGACGGUUUUGCUGUCACUUAUAUCUGGAUCCGCGACUCAUUAGCUAGUUGGUAAGGUAACGGCUUACCAAGGCAACGAUGCGUAGCCGACCUGAGAGGGUGAUCGGCCACACUGGAACUGAGACACGGUCCAGACGCCUACGGGAGGCAGCAGUAGGGAAUCUUGCGCAAUGGGCGAAAGCUUGACGGAGCAACGCCGCGUGAGUGAUGAAGGUCUUCGGAUCGUAAAACUCUGUUAUUAGGGAAGAACAAAUGUGUAAGUAACUAUGCAAGUCUUGACGGUACCUAAUCAGAAAGCCACGGCUAAAUACGUG
rnacentral:rRNA from 1 species